GGGCGGGACUGCGUGCGCUGUUUUUUGCUUCUUGGCUGUCCGCUCUUCCUAUCUUUGAGAUGCAGAAAGCCCAAAGUGUCGGAUUAUUCACCCACCACGCCAAUUGGGAGCUAGAGCUGGGUUUUGACCGUCGUGAGACAGGUU
rnacentral:ncRNA from 1 species